UGGUGCUUGCUCCCUGGCCCUGCCAUUACGUAAGUAGUAUCCAUAGUCUAAUUGAGAUGGUAUAGAUUUGAGAUAAAUGACAGGAAAGAAUGUGGAGAUUACCCGUUCUUCUUAAACAUUCUCCAUGCAACCCAGCCCACAGGAUAUUGGACAGCUUACCUAGAUUUAAGGGUCAGACUCCUGAUCAGGUGCCAGCUUCCCUUCAACACUCCAGCAGCAGCCCUCCUGGGGGCUUCUGGCAUGGCACGUGGGCAGGAAUUAAAAACUAAAGGGAUCA
rnacentral:lncRNA from 1 species